rnacentral:lncRNA from 1 species
UGCAAGUUUUCAAUCACACUUUCAAACAAAUCCAAUAAUCCAACCAAAAACAGUUGUAUGAUCAUACUCAAUUUGUCUAAUAAUAAACAUCAACAUUUUAAACCGAAACAUACUAUAUAUUUGUUUACGCCAUAAUACAUAAAGUCGUCUAUACAUGCCAUGUUUCCAAAAUAUGAGUUGCAAAAUACCCAAGCGUUGAUGAUAGUGUAGAUGAUUAUCUGACUCCGCCUAAGUUCCAUGUCACUAUAAUCAAGGGGAAAAUAAAAACGAGUAAGCAUACAGCUUAGUAAGUAAACAUAUGACAGAUAAAUAAAUUUCUCACAAGGUUACACCAUAGUAUAAUUUUAAUCACAAACAAAUUUUAUUGUUUGUUCAAUUUCCAGCAAGCUAUUUUUCUGCGUCAUAGUCACUAAUUUAUUUUUAUCUGGAGAUACAAGACUCUAAAUUGAAUUCUGUAAAUUUUCCCCGAACCUAGACUCAUGUACCUUUCCACCAUAAAAUUUUCAGAAUUUUUGGUUUAUCCAAUUAGUACAGUUUAUUCUUUAAAUUUUCCCUUAUUUCACUGCCUAACAGCUCUGACCUCCCUUUACUAAAAUUUACUUAACUCCCUGUAAAAAAUUAAAAAAAUGUUCUAGUUUAUUUCUAUUAAAAAUAGGCUCAUUAAGGAAUCCAGGCAUAUAAAUUUCAAGCCAUAAUUAUUUUUAUACAAUUUUUGGUGAUUUUCCAAAGUUGGAACAGGGGAUUCUGAAAUCAAUCCAGCCUUGUCUCAAAUAAAUCCAAAUAUCCUCAAAUAUAAAACUCUUUUGCUUCCUCUGUUUCUUUCAUAUGAAAAUAGACUCACUCAGCUUUAAUUCCAUAUAUUAUUAAACCUCCAAUUCAUUUUCCACCAUUUAUGGUGAUUUUUCAAAGUUGCCCAACUGCUGUUGUUCGAAACAGGUUUGUAUUUAAAUUGUUUCUUUUGUACUUUUGAUAUUUCCUCCCAUCUUAUACAUGGGUUGAUUAAGUAUCAAACCCAAUAUUCCUCCCAUAACCUUGUCCACCAUAUGUAUAAAUAUUCACCUUCCCAAUUUACUCGUUGAACACUCGGAAUGAUAACCGUUAUCGGUGGAUUCAGCACUUAGCAACCACCAGUGAUUCGGGGAAUCAGCACUUAGCAACCCCUUUUUACAUCCAAUGAUAUGGUGGAAUCAGUACUUAGCAACCACCAGUGAUUCGGGGAAUCAGCAUUUAGCAACCCCUUUCACAUUCAAGGAUAUGGUGGAAUCAACACUUAGCAACCACCAAAGAGUCGGGGAAUCAGCACUUAGCUACCCCUUGAGGGAAUCAGCACUUAGCAACCCCUUUAACAUUCAAGGAUAUGGUGGAAUCAGCACUUAGCAACCCCUUGUUAUUCAAUAUAAUCCGGCUUAUUCCGAGUGUUCAACCAGAAACCGUGUUUUUCAACACUUUACCACUUUUCCCAAUUUAAUCACAUUUUUAGGAUAUUUGCCAAAUAUUUAUUCUAUGUUCAAAUAAAUCUCAACACAUAUCAAAUAAUAUCAAAAUAAUACAUUAUUUCACAUGUUUACUUACCUCGGUGCAAAAUAUCGUGAUUUUGCAAUUUACUCUACUACUUUCUCUUUUCCCCGUUUGAGGUAUUCUUCUCGUCUUUCUUGAUCUAUAAUAACAAAUUU